rnacentral:rRNA from 1 species
UACGUAGGGUGCGAGCGUUAAUCGGAAUUACUGGGCGUAAAGCGUGCGCAGGCGGCGCGUUAAGACAGGUGUGAAAGCCCCCGAGCUUAACUUGGGAAUUGCGCUUGUGACUGGCGUGCUGGAGUGUGGCAGAGGGAGGUGGAAUUCCACGUGUAGCAGUGAAAUGCGUAGAGAUGAUGGAGGAACACCGAUGGCGAAGGCAGCCUCCUGGGCCAGCACUGACGCUCAUGCACGAAAGCGUGGGGAGCAAACAGG